AGCGUUCUUUGAAGUGCUCACACAGAUUGUCUGAUAGAAAGUGAAAAGCAAGGCGUCUUGCGAAGCAGACUGAUACGUCCCCUUCGUCUAGAGGCCCAGGACACCGCCCUUUCACGGCGGUAACAGGGGUUCGAAUCCCCUAGGGGACGCCACUUGCUGGUUUGUGAGUGAAAGUCACCUGCCUUAAUAUCUCAAAACUCAUCUUCGGGUGAUGUUUGAGAUAUUUGCUCUUUAAAAAUCUGGAUCAAGCUGAAAAUUGAAACACUGAACAACGAAAGUUGUUCGUGAGUCUCUCAAAUUUUCGCAACACGAUGAUGAAUCGAAAGAAACAUCUUCGGGUNCACAGAACUUUCCAGAGAUGGAUUGGUGCCUUCGGGAACUGUGAGACAGGUGCUGCAUGGCUGUCGUCAGCUCGUGUUGUGAAAUGUUGGGUUAAGUCCCGCAACGAGCGCAACCCUUAUCCUUUGUUGCCAGCGGUCCGGCCGGGAACUCAAAGGAGACUGCCAGUGAUAAACUGGAGGAAGGUGGGGAUGACGUCAAGUCAUCAUGGCCCUUACGACCAGGGCUACACACGUGCUACAAUGGCGCAUACAAAGAGAAGCGACCUCGCGAGAGCAAGCGGACCUCAUAAAGUGCGUCGUAGUCCGGAUUGGAGUCUGCAACUCGACUCCAUGAAGUCGGAAUCGCUAGUAAUCGUGGAUCAGAAUGCCACGGUGAAUACGUUCCCGGGCCUUGUACACACCGCCCGUCACACCAUGGGAGUGGGUUGCAAAAGAAGUAGGUAGCUUAACCUUCGGGAGGGCGCUUACCACUUUGUGAUUCAUGACUGGGGUGAAGUCGUAACAAGGUAACCGUAGGGGAACCUGCGGUUG
rnacentral:rRNA from 1 species